rnacentral:tRNA from 10 species
UGAGCCUUGACUCAUUUAACCCCCACAGCACCCAGUAGAUGGUGGCACUAUUAGCAUACUUGUUUUAGAGGUGAGGACACACACACAAAGAGAUAAGGAAUUGCCUAAGAGCAAAAAGCUGGUAAGUGGUGAGCCCAGGUGUGAGCCUUGCUUCAGGAUCAAGUGCGCACCCCUGUGCUCUGGACUCCUUCCAGGUGUUGUUUCUCUUGCUGGCAUUUUAACUUCAUUACACCUAUCUGUAUGUUGGUCGUGGGAAGGAGGAAGCUCACCGAACACUGUGGCUUACCCAAGAUUUGUCCCUCGACUUUCCCUCUUCACCAAACCCCAGAGCCACUGGCGGAAUGUUCAGUUCCUUGGAAUCCCACAUGCCCGGGUUAGCUCCUUUUGCAAGCAGCCUGAUGGAUAGAAGUGAAGGGAUGGUGCUCCUUAUGAAAGGAGACGGGGGAGCUUAGUGAGCAGCGGCAGGGCCCUGCAGCCCGUCACACGCUAGCAUCCACCGGGUUGAGUGGCUGCGCACGACCGCGGCGGGCGGGCGGGCGCGCUGCCGGAACGCUCUAGGCCUCCUGCGGAACCCAGGCCUGCGUGAAGGUAAAUGCAAAUCAGCUCCGCCCAGCGCUUCCCGCAGAAGGAGGGUUUUCUGUGUGCGCGUCUGGUUUCCUCCGCCUUCAGCCAGAAUGCUGGCUUUAUUUUUGCGGUUUAUGAGCUUGAGACAGGGAAUUCAUUUCCUUGGUAUAAUAUGACCCUCUGGAGAAAGUCUUGUCCAGAUAUAUUUUGCUCCCAAACGCCGCCCUAGAAGAAGGACUACACUGAAAUGAAACGGAGAUGAUUAAAGUCUGAUUUAUAGGCUGUACAAGCCCUGAAAGCAAGAACGGGGUUCACGGCAUCUUGAUACCCCCAUGUGGGGACGUUUUGGCGAUUUUAUUUACAAGAAAGGGAUUUUACACCGGAGAGGCUUUUAAAUAUGCUAACAGACUGGACCAGCUUUCUCAUCCCCACUGGCUGAUUAAUGAUUCCUCCAUGCCAACCCGGUUCUCAGAGACACCAAGGCCAGGUAAAAACCACCCCUUCAUCCCCUAAACCUUGCAAGAAGCACAGGGUCCAGAAUUAUGCUUCUUUCAGGUUCUAAAUAGCACAAUAAAACUAAUAACAAUAAGCUUUUAGUUAUUAGAUCAGGUACAUUUUACUUUACAGUAAGCUUUUACUUAUUGGAUCAGGUACAUUUUAAAGCAAUUUUUGAACAUUAUUUCAUUUGAUCCUCACAACCACACUAUGAGGUAGGUACUAUCAUUCCAUUUGAAGGAUGAGAAAACUGAGGCUCGAAGAUGUUAAAUAACUUGUUCAAGAUCACAGCUAGUCAGUGGACAUAGCUGCCAUUCACUGAGUGCUUCCUGUGAGCCAGGCACGGUGACCAUCACAUUAAACCAAUUAUUUAUUUCAUGCAAUAGUGCCCUUGAUCCUUAGGAAGUGGCCUCCAGUGCUUAGAAUUCCAAGCAUUUGGUCCUCUGGAGAUGAGAAACCAUGGGAAGGCAGGGGCUCACUCACCCCUGUAUCCAAAAAGUUGAGGAUGGUGCCAAGGACAGAGACGGUACCAGGGACUCCAAAAAUACUGAAUGAAAGGACAGUAGAGGUGCUUUCCUGUGGGAUCCCCAAUCUCUCCCCGCCUUCAGGUGAGUCCUGCUGAUGCUCAGGCUGCCCUUGGAACAGGGACCUUGGCCAUAGUUUCCUUAUCUGUAAUAAUGGGAUGAGAAUUCCUCCUGCACAGGGUUGUUAGGGACCUCGUGAGGCAGCUUCUAUGGCUGCCUUUGGUGCUUAGUUUUCUCACUUUCUUCUUGAACAUGGGAGUGGGGAGACGGACUCCUAAGGGUAUGACACUUGAAGAUUUCAGGAGGGGGCCUGCAGGUUUAUGUCCUCACUUGUUUUACACCUCACAGAGGUCAGCGAAGCAGGGUAUCACCAAAGCCCCACCUGAUGUCUCUGGAAAUCGAGUACUCCGUGUCUUCACCAGGCCCAUGCCAGCUGUGAGGGGCAGAACCAGGUUUUCUGACACCAAACCCCAGGUUUCUUCCUGUGCUGGCAUGGGUCCUUUUUCUGACUUGGCCAGCAGCCUCUCAUAGAUGGGGGUCUGAUUAAAUAGUUCUGG